UAAAGCGAAUAAGGGCGCAUGGUGGAUGCCUAGGCUCUAGGAGGCGAAGAAGGACGUGGUAAGCUGCGAUAAGCUACGGGGAGAUGCAAACGAUCGUUACAUCCGUAGAUUUCCGAAUGGGACAACCCAAUACAUUGAAGAUGUAUUAUCCGUAAGGAGGCCAACGCAGGGAACUGAAACAUCUAAGUACCUGCAGGAAAAGAAAAUAAAUAAUGAUUCCCUAAGUAGUGGCGAGCGAACGGGGAAUAGCCCAAACCGCGGUGGCGUGCUGCCGCGGGGUUAUAGGACUACUUUUAGAAAAUCAGAUCAAGUUGAAUCAUCUGGAAAGAUGAACCAUAGCAGGUGAUAGUCCUGUAGGCAGAAAUUCUGAUGGACGUGUAGUAUCCUGAGUAGUGCGGGACCGGAGGAAUCCUGUAUGAAUUUGCCAGCACCAUCUGGUAAGGCUAAAUACUCCCUAGAGACCGAUAGUGAACCAGUACCGUAAGGGAAAGGUGAAAAGCACUUCGAACAGAAGAGUGAAAUAGUUCCUGAAACCGUGCGCCUACAAGCGGUCGGAGCAUAG
rnacentral:rRNA from 1 species